rnacentral:rRNA from 1 species
AAAGUCGUAACAAGGUCUCCGUUGGUGAACCAGCGGAGGGAUCAUUACC